AGUUGGUGGUGUAAAGGCCUACCAAGGCAACGAUCCGUAGCGGGUGUGAGAGGAUGAUCCGCCACACUGGAACUGAGACACGGUCCAGACUCAUACGGGAGGCAGCAGUGGGGAAUUUUGGACAAUGGGCGCAAGCCUGAUCCAGCCAUGCCGCGUGAGUGAAGAAGGCCUUCGGGUUGUAAAGCUCUUUCGGCCGGGAAGAAAUCGCAUGGGUGAAUACCCUGUGUGGAUGACGGUACCGGCAUAAGAAGCACCGGCUAACUACGUGCCAGCAGCCGCGGUAAUACGUAGGGUGCGAGCGUUAAUCGGAAUUACUGGGCGUAAAGCGUGCGCAGGCGGUUUGGUAAGUCAGAUGUGAAAGCCCCGGGCUCAACCUGGGAACGGCAUUUGAGACUGCCAAGCUGGAGUAUGGCAGAGGGGGGUGGAAUUCCACGUGUAGCAGUGAAAUGCGUAGAGAUGUGGAGGAACACCGAUGGCGAAGGCAGCCCCCUGGGCCAUGACUGACGCUCAUGCACGAAAGCGUGGGGAGCAAACAGGAUUAGAUACCCUGGUAGUCCACGCCCUAAACGAUGUCAACUAGGUGUUGGGAGGGUUAAACCUUUUAGU
rnacentral:rRNA from 1 species